AACGAACGCUGGCGGCAGGCUUAACACAUGCAAGUCGAGCGCCCCGCAAGGGGAGCGGCAGACGGGUGAGUAACACGUGGGAAUCUACCCAUCCCUACGGAACAACUCCGGGAAACUGGAGCUAAUACCGUAUACGCCCUUUGGGGGAAAGAUUUAUCGGGGAUGGAUGAGCCCGCGUCGGAUUAGCUAGUUGGUGGGGUAAAGGCCUACCAAGGCGACGAUCCGUAGCUGGUCUGAGAGGAUGAUCAGCCACACUGGGACUGAGACACGGCCCAAACUCCUACGGGAGGCAGCAGUGGGGAAUAUUGGACAAUGGGCGCAAGCCUGAUCCAGCCAUGCCGCGUGAGUGAUGAAGGCCUUAGGGUUGUAAAGCUCUUUCACCGACGAAGAUAAUGACGGUAGUCGGAGAAGAAGCCCCGGCUAACUUCGUGCCAGCAGCCGCAGUAACAC
rnacentral:rRNA from 1 species